rnacentral:misc_RNA from 1 species
GAUGAAGAACGCAUCGAAAUGCGAUACGUAAUGUGAAUUGCAGAAUUCAGUGAAUCAUCGAGUCUUUGAACGCACAUUGCGCCCCCUGGUAUUCCGGGGGGCAUGCCUGUCCGAGCGUCAUUGCUGCCCUCAAGCACGGCUUGUGUGUUGGGCCUCCGUCCUCCUCUCGGGGGACGGGCCCGAAAGGCAGCGGCGGCACCGCGUCCGGUCCUCGAGCGUAUGGGGCUUCGUCACCCGCUCUUGUAGGCCCGGCCGGCGCUUGCCGACACAUCAAUCUUUUUUCCAGGUUGACCUCGGAUCAGGUAGGGAUACCCGCUGAACUUAAGCAUAUCAAUAAGCGGAGGA